AUGAUUGUCAUUUCUGAGGGAAGGAAACGGAAGCCCAUUUCUGAGGGAGAGGAAGUGGCCUCUCCAGGGUGGCCCAGCCGGCAAGAGGUAGAUGGUGGAGCAGGGACCGAACCCAGGCUGGUGAGAGCAGAAUCGGCACAGCUCCCAGAAGCGCUCCUCUUCACGCCGUUCAAUAUCAGAACUAUCCAGUGGGCCGGGGCUGGAGACUGGGAGGCCUUCUCCAGCCCUUCCCUCCCAUCAGCUUCCCUGCUGCUUCCCCACCUCAGGUCCUGGCACCGCAUGGGCCCUGACUGGCACUGUCACCGCCACGCCUGGCUCCUCAGAGCCCUCCUUCCCGGGCCGCCCGCAGCAGGCCGUGUCCAGUUCUCCCUCGCACCUCGCAGGAAUCCACAGCCUUCCCGGCGCCUCCUCUGCCCCUCUCAGCCCAGCCCACCCAGAGCUCACAUCUGGCAGCUGCAGCCGCCACCUCAAUGUUCCUCCUGCUUCCAUUGUGCCCUUCUCAAUUCAUCCUUUCUGGCACAGAGGCCAGGAAGAUCUUCCAGAGAUAGAGUUCUAUCAUUUCCUGCUCCACUGAGCCUCCUUCCAUGGCUCCUUCCCCCUGCACUUAGGAGAAAAGCUAAAAUGCCUCUUCAUGAUCUGCCUGGGCCCCCAUGGGAGCCAGACACUAUCUCCUACCACCCUCUAGUUCCACGCAGCCCAGAAACUUCAUGUGCCCCCAACACACCAUGCUCUUUGCAGCCCUCAUACCUGCUUUCCUCUCUUCUUGAUUUUUCUUCUUCCCAGACUUUACCUGAGGCUCCUGUUAGCCUCAACAUUUGGAGCAAAUGUUGCCUCCCCAGAGGGUCCUCCUGGGCCAGCCUGUCUAGAGAGAGAACCCCAGCGCUUACACCCCCUUUACUGGUUUUCCUCCACUUCAACCACCUAGUGCGCAUUGAACGGUUGUUGUGGGGGUUUUUUUCUGACCGGUUGCACGUGGGGCUUGCGUGUGAGUGUGUGCACACAUCAGCCCCAUGA
rnacentral:lncRNA from 1 species